UCGGCUUUGGCACAGCCCAGAAAUGUCUCCAAACACCGGGCAUUUUGGGGAGGAUAGAGGAAGUGUUUCUCCAUUUCCUCUCAUACGAUGGAGCUUGCUGCCAACGUCCCCCCCUGGGGAGCUGCCAGGUUUGGUGCUGCUGGAGCCCUGCCUUGAAGCAGUGACACGGGGUGAUGCAAUGGGCCGCAGCUCUUGCACCACUGGCACAGGGAAAGCGCCCAUGGUGCCCGCGGUCCUGGGGUGGUGUGGGGCAAGGGAGCAGCUGCACGAGGGCUGCCAGGGCUGUUUGCUUCCUUGGCAGAUCCCUGGUGUUUCCCUGCCUGUUCUCCUGUGAGUGAGAGGAUGGAGCUCCUCCUGCCCCUCGUUCAUCUGUUCGAUCUCACUGCCACUCUCAGAGAUGUAACUUCACACCAGAGCUGCAGAUAACUGCAUCUAUCCGCUGUUGCCCGUUUUUUUUAAUAUCCGGUGGCUUUCCCUGAACUGCUGACGUCAGUGAAUCCCUGCACAGAGCAGCGCUGGAUGCAUUUUGUGAGCGUGAGCAGAGGCGUGCAGCUUCAGGGGCAGCUGGCAGCCCAUCAUGCUGCGGGUGACGGGGAGCAGAUCUUUCCU
ensembl:lncRNA